rnacentral:rRNA from 1 species
UACCCGCUGAACUUAAGCAUAUCAAUAAGCGGAGGAAAAGAAACUAACAAGGAUUCCCCUAGUAACGGCGAGUGAAGCGGGAAGAGCACAAAUUUUAAAUCUACCUGGUUUCCAGGUCGAGUUGUAAUUUGAAGAAGUGUUUUUUACUUUCCGGGUUGGGUUAAAUCCUUUGGGAUAAGGUAUCAUGGAGGGUGAGAAUCCCGUGUAUACCAACCGCAGGAUUGUUUAAUAUACACUUUCUAAGAGUCGAGUUGUUUGGGAAUGCAGCUCUAAAUGGGUGGUAAAUUUCACCUAAUGCUAAAUAUAAGCGAGAGACCGAUAGCGAACAAGUACCGUGAGGGAAAGAUGAAAAGAACUUUGAAAAGAGAGUUAAAUAGUACGUGAAAUUGUUGAAAGGGAAACGGUUGAAGUCAGUCAUGCCGGCGGGAAUCAACUUAGGGGAAACUCUGAGUGCACUUCUUCGCUUGGCAGGUUAGCGUCGAUUUUGGAUGUCAUAAAAUGACUGGGGGAAGGUAGCUCUUUCGGGAGUGUUAAGCCCUUGGUAGAUGUGAUGUCUGGGAUCGAGGAUUGCAACGGAUACCUUUUGGGCUAGCCGCCUGGUCUCUAAUACGAAGUUGGGUUAUAGACAGCACGCUGACUGUGAUCUGAUUUUCGGUUAAAAGAUUAGAGCGAGUGUAAAUUCGUUAAGGAUGG